CGGCGAGUUACGAUUUGAUGCAAGGUUAAGCAGUAAAUGUGGAGCCGUAGCGAAAGCGAGUCUGAAUAGGGCGUUUAGUAUUUGGUCGUAGACCCGAAACCAGGUGAUCUACCCUUGGUCAGGUUGAAGUUCAGGUAACACUGAAUGGAGGACCGAACCGACUUACGUUGAAAAGUGAGCGGAUGAACUGAGGGUAGCGGAGAAAUUCCAAUCGAACCUGGAGAUAGCUGGUUCUCUCCGAAAUAGCUUUAGGGCUAGCCUCAAGUGAUGAUUAUUGGAGGUAGAGCACUGUUUGGACGAGGGGCCCCUCUCGGGUUACCGAAUUCAGACAAACUCCGAAUGCCAAUUAAUUUAACUUGGGAGUCAGAACAUGGGUGAUAAGGUCCGUGUUCGAAAGGGAAACAGCCCAGACCACCAGCUAAGGUCCCAAAAUAUAUGUUAAGUGGAAAAGGAUGUGGCGUUGCCCAGACAACUAGGAUGUUGGCUUAGAAGCAGCCAUCAUUUAAAGAGUGCGUAAUAGCUCACUAGUCGAGUGACACUGCGCCGAAAAUGUACCGGGGCUAAACAUAUUACCGAAGCUGUGGAUUGUCCUUUGGACAAUGGUAGGAGAGCGUUCUAAGGGCGUUGAAGCAUGAUCGUAAGGACAUGUGGAGCGCUUAGAAGUGAGAAUGCCGGUGUGAGUAGCGAAAGACGGGUGAGAAUCCCGUCCACCGAUUGACUAAGGUUUCCAGAGGAAGGCUCGUCCGCUCUGGGUUAGUCGGGUCCUAAGCUGAGGCCGACAGGCGUAGGCGAUGGAUAACAGGUUGAUAUUCCUGUACCACCUAUAAUCGUUUUAAUCGAUGGGGGGACGCAGUAGGAUAGGCGAAGCGUGCGAUUGGAUUGCACGUCUAAGCAGUAAGGCUGAGUAUUAGGCAAAUCCGGUAC
rnacentral:rRNA from 1 species